rnacentral:rRNA from 1 species
GUCGAGCGGUAGCACAGAGAGCUUGCUCUCGGGUGACGAGCGGCGGACGGGUGAGUAAUGUCUGGGAAACUGCCUGAUGGAGGGGGAUAACUACUGGAAACGGUAGCUAAUACCGCAUAACGUCGCAAGACCAAAGUGGGGGACCUUCGGGCCUCAUGCCAUCAGAUGUGCCCAGAUGGGAUUAGCUAGUAGGUGGGGUAACGGCUCACCUAGGCGACGAUCCCUAGCUGGUCUGAGAGGAUGACCAGCCACACUGGAACUGAGACACGGUCCAGACUCCUACGGGAGGCAGCAGUGGGGAAUAUUGCACAAUGGGCGCAAGCCUGAUGCAGCCAUGCCGCGUGUGUGAAGAAGGCCUUCGGGUUGUAAAGCACUUUCAGCGGGGAGGAAGGCGAUAAGGUUAAUAACCUUGGCGAUUGACGUUACCCGCAGAAGAAGCACCGGCUAACUCCGUGCCAGCAGCCGCGGUAAUACGGAGGGUGCAAGCGUUAAUCGGAAUUACUGGGCGUAAAGCGCACGCAGGCGGUCUGUCAAGUCGGAUGUGAAAUCCCCGGGCUCAACCUGGGAACUGCAUUCGAAACUGGCAGGCUAGAGUCUUGUAGAGGGGGGUAGAAUUCCAGGUGUAGCGGUGAAAUGCGUAGAGAUCUGGAGGAAUACCGGUGGCGAAGGCGGCCCCCUGGACAAAGACUGACGCUCAGGUGCGAAAGCGUGGGGAGCAAACAGGAUUAGAUACCCUGGUAGUCCACGCCGUAAACGAUGUCGAUUUGGAGGUUGUGCCCUUGAGGCGUGGCUUCCGGAGCUAACGCGUUAAAUCGACCGCCUGGGGAGUACGGCCGCAAGGUUAAAACUCAAAUGAAUUGACGGGGGCCCGCACAAGCGGUGGAGCAUGUGGUUUAAUUCGAUGCAACGCGAAGAACCUUACCUGGUCUUGACAUCCACAGAACUUUCCAGAGAUGGAUUGGUGCCUUCGGGAACUGUGAGACAGGUGCUGCAUGGCUGUCGUCAGCUCGUGUUGUGAAAUGUUGGGUUAAGUCCCGCAACGAGCGCAACCCUUAUCCUUUGUUGCCAGCGGUUAGGCCGGGAACUCAAAGGAGACUGCCAGUGAUAAACUGGAGGAAGGUGGGGAUGACGUCAAGUCAUCAUGGCCCUUACGACCAGGGCUACACACGUGCUACAAUGGCAUAUACAAAGAGAAGCGACCUCGCGAGAGCAAGCGGACCUCAUAAAGUAUGUCGUAGUCCGGAUUGGAGUCUGCAACUCGACUCCAUGAAGUCGGAAUCGCUAGUAAUCGUAGAUCAGAAUGCUACGGUGAAUACGUUCCCGGGCCUUGUACACACCGCCCGUCACACCAUGGGAGUGGGUUGCAAAAGAAGUAGGUAGCUUAACCUUCGGGAGGGCG